GGACUGGGGAGGGGGGGGGGGGGCAGUACUACACAGGCUCGGCGGAGCUCCAGCUCAGCUGCGCAGCAGUUAAAGUAAAGGUCGACUUAAUAAUCCCUUAAAAUAAAAUGUUUUCACUUAAACCGCUACUGACAGCUCCUUAUUGGUCAGCCUCCCUGGAAACUCCGGAUCACUCCCCCCCACCUCUCAGCUGCUCCCGGACAGCGGUCUUUCACCCACAACUCCCGCUCCACCCGGACUGGAUCCACGGACUGACGACUGAUUCGACUCUAAAGUCUUAACGUCUCUAAAAGAAUGUCACGUCUGAUGGACAGUGGGCGGUUUCUGUCUUUUCUCUCAGAGACUGUGGACUAACAUGAGCCGAGGAACCGACUGAAUGAUCUCCACGGACCUUUGGAGGAGGACAGGGUUCCAGCCAAAGGACAGCUGCUUCUGGUGUAGCUGUAGCUGCUGUAGCUGCUGUUGCUGGUGGUGAUGAUGAUGUCUCUCCCAUGGACUGGCAAUCUGCAGGGGACCAGGAGGAACCGAUGGACUGGGAACCUGCAGGGACUCUGAGUUCACCCUCAGCCAGCUCCUCCCUUUACAACCACAUAUCGAUGGCGAUCAGUGUCGGUGAAACUGUGACAGUUGCCCUCAGAAUCCCUGCAGAUAAGAGACAGUAAACAGAGGAGGUGGAUCUACAGCCCAGCUGACACACACACACACACACACACACACACACACACACACACACACACACACACACACACACAGACAGAGUUGGAGCCAAUAUUUUUUAUAUAUAUCUAAUAUCUUUUCAUCUGUGCUUGAAUCUUCUUUUCUUUUGUUUGUUUUGUUUUGUUCAGUUCUGUUUUCCCUUGUAAAGUGACUUUGAGUCUUUGAAAAAUGCUAUAUAAAUUCAAUUUAUUAUUAUUAUUAUUAUUAUUAUUAUUAUUAUUAUUAUUAUUAAUAUUAUGAUUUCGAUAUUAACUUUUAUUUUGAUAAAUUGAGCAUCUAUGCAGUGACAUUAACAGUAAACUAGACUCAUUGUAAACUGAAAAUUUGUGUAAAUUGAUCUUGAUGUGACAAUCAGCUGAUUAAUGAAGUCAUUACAUCAGCUGGUGUAGAAGAGCCCAGCUGUCAUUCAGUUUGGGGCCUACCGCUCAGAACAGUUAGGUGAUUGUUUUUUGUUAUAUCUUUUACUCUGCUGUCAGUGCUUGUGCAUCAUGUAUUAAGGACAGUUUUUUUUGUGGAAAAGAUGAAAACGUAUCACAUUGAAGUUUGAGUGAUAAAGAAAAAUAAACGUGAAACCAGUGGA